GACAGGAACAUAGGUAGGAAGGGGUGCUUAGCCCUAAGGAGAGGGGACUAAGGAAAGAAAAAGGAGUCGGGGGCGGAGCGAGGAGGAUUCCGGAGGAAAAGUAGGAGAAGACGGAGGUUCUCCCCACUUGGGCCGGAGGGCAGCGGGGACGGCGCUCCUCCGGGGCUGCCGGGAGUGUGGAGAGCAACAAACUCUGAUGCCGCGGGUGAGAACUUGGGGAGCACACACAGCGGCGGGGUCAGAGGAGGAGCUGCGGCCGCUGCCCGCCCUCGCUCACUUGGCCCCGCACGUUGAAGCCGUAGCCGGACUCGGACUUGACGAUGCGCACGACCCGCGGGCCGCUGCCUCCGCCGUUCCCGGCGCAGUGGAGCCCUGAACCCCCACCGCCGCCGCCGCCUCCGUUCCGGUGAGGGGCUGCGGGGUGAAUCCCUUCCCCGUCCUCGUCCGCCAUCUUGCGAGCCAGCGAGCCGUAUCCCCGCCCCCGACGCCUCCACUCCCUCCCGCGCGCGCUCGCGCCGCUCCGCAGCCGCGCGACCCCUCGCGCGCUCGCUGCCGACCGCGGGACCCCCGUGGGCCCCGAGCUGCAGGCCGGGGUGAGGGACGACACGAGGCGAGGGAAGAAGGACGUCGUGCACUGUGGAGCCUCCUGGGAGAUGUAGUUUAUGGGCUGUGGGGACUGAGAGGGUGCUGGGCCCUGCGGGAGUUGAGGUUAUAUGACGCAGUCGGGAGCAAGGCCUGCUGGGAGUUGUAGUUUUCCUUUUAUGCUCUUAGGCGUUUCAUCUGUUGGAUAGCGAGUGUGUGGCAGACUGAUUCAACUGUUGAUGUCUUUUUUUUCUUCUUCUUCUUAUUUCAUAGGCUCUAAGCCAAUGAUAUUAGGGCGAGUUAACGUUUGUAACUCAAUACAGUCUUAAGUUAUAACAACUCAUUUGCACAGGUGGUCACAUUUUAUUCCAUGGCGCCAACUUCUUGAGACUACUGGAUCGUGAAUUAGUUUGUGUAUUUCACAUAUUAGAAAACUGAACCUUAGAGUGCUCAAAGUCAUCCAGCUAUUAAGUAACAGGAACUAAGGCCCAGUUAUAUUUGUGCAACUUUUCCUGUAUUGCAACUACAUAAAUAGUAGGCCCCAGUCCAGCCUGUGUGGCUCAGUGGUGGAGCGUGGGCCCAUGCGCCCAGAGGUGGUGAGUUGGAUUCAGGUCAUGCCACAUGCCCUGUGUGCAGGCUCCAUCCCCAGCAGGGGCAUGCAGGAGACAGCCAACUGAGAUUGAUGUUUCUCUCUCAUCCACGUUUCUCUCUCCUCUCCCUCUUCCUUCCUCUCUAACAAUUAAUAAAAACAUAUUUUUUUAAAGAUAGGACCCCCAACUAUACAGAAAUAUAUAGAGGGAGAGGGGAAACUAUGGCCUUACUGAUUUAAAACUGAAUAGUAGUGUGGCUAAGUAAUUUCAAUCGAGCAAUGAUUUCAAAGUCACCUUUAUUUCUAAUUCAUUUUGUUUCCCCCAACAGUACAGUAGAAUUAUUUGCAAAUGGCAGCAAUUGAUGUAUUUUGGCUACCUUCCCAAACACAAACUUACAGAUAUUGUGCAGAAUGCCUAGGAAAAGCAAGUUAGAAGAGCAAGAGCAAAAAUAAUGUAAAUAUCUUAAGCAUUUAAUUCUCAAGUCUGGUAUUUGAUUUUACCUAUUGGAAGGCUAACAGGUUAGUCUGUUACUGUUUCAUGGAUGUUGAUAAAAGACACAAGAUUCUUGGGUAAGAGACAAAGGACUCAAAACAAGAAGCAACACGAGCUUCAGCAUGUUUGUGUCAAUUCCUCUUGUCCCCCAAGUCUCACGGGCUCGGAUGAAAGCUUUGCUCUUGGUGGAUUUACAUCAUGGCUGAGGAACACUGGGCAUGGGGAGCCCACCAUUUUAUCGGAAGCAGCUCUGUGAUCGUGACUAGGAAUACAAAGAUCAAUACGAUGAUAUCUACUAACUCCAUGAAGGGCAAUAUGGCAAUAUGUGAAGGCAUGUACUCCUUGAUCUAGGGAUUCCACUUCUAGGAGUUCAUUCUACUCUCACACUUGAACAUGUGUGAAAUGACAUUUUGUGACGUUAGUAGUUGCAGUAUUGUUUGCGUUCACAGAAGAUUGGAAAUAACCUAACGUUCAUUGAUUGAAUUAUGAUACACCCACAAUAAAAAACUGAGUAACUAAAUAAAGACUAAGGAAGUUGUUUAUGUACUGAAAUGGCAUGGCCACAAGGAUACUGUACAUAAGUAAGUGGAAA